rnacentral:rRNA from 1 species
UAGGGAAUCUUCCGCAAUGGACGCAAGUCUGACGGAGCAACGCCGCGCGAGUGAAGAAGGAUUUCGGUUCGUAAAACUCUGUUGUUAGAGAAGAACAGCGCAUAGAGUAACUGUUAUGCGUGUGACGGUAUCUAACCAGAAAGCCACGGCUAACUACGUGCCAGCAGCCGCGGUAAUACGUAGGUGGCAAGCGUUGUCCGGAUUUAUUGGGCGUAAAGCGAGCGCAGGCGGUCAAUUAAGUCUGAUGUGAAAGCCCCCGGCUCAACCGGGGAGGGUCAUUGGAAACUGGUUGACUUGAGUGCAGAAGAGGAGGGUGGAAUUCCAUGUGUGGCGGUGAAAUGCGUAGAUAUAUGGAGGAACACCAGUGGCGAAGGCGACUCUCUGGUCUGUAACUGACGCUGAGGCUCGAAAGCGUGGGUAGCAAACAGG